CCUGGUUGAUCCUGCCAGUAGUCAUAUGCUUGUCUCAAAGAUCAAGCCAUGCAUGUGUAAGUAUGAACUAUUUCAGACUGUGAAGCUGCGAAUGGCUCAUUAAAUCAGUUAUAGUUUGUUUGAUGGUACAUGCUACUCGUAUAACCGUAGUAAUUCUAGAGCUAAUAUGUGCAACAAACCCCGACUUUCUUAAGGGAUGCAUUUAUUAGAUAAAAGGUUGACGCGGGCUUUGCCCGCUGCUCCGAUUAUUCAUGAUAACUCGACGGAUCGGAUGGCCCUCGUGCCGGUGACGCAUCAUUCAAAUUUCUGCCCUAUCAACUUUCGAUGGUAGGAUAGGGGCCUACCAAGGUGGUGAUGGGUGACGGAGAAUUAGGGUUCGAUUCCGGAGAGAGAGCUUGAGUAACGGCUACCAUAUCCAAGGAAGGCAGUAGGAGCACAAAUUAUCCAAUCCUGACACGGGGAGGUAGUGACAAUAAAUAACAAUACCGAGCUCUUCGAGUCUGGUAAUUGGAAUGAGUACAAUCUAAAUCCGCCUUGCGGUGUGCACCGGUCGUCCCAUCCCUUCUGUCGACGAUGCGUGCCUGGCCUUAACUAGCCGGGUCGUGCAUCCGACGUUGUUAUUUUGAAGAAAUUAGAUUGCUCAAAGCAAGCCCACGCUCUGGAUACAUUAGCAUGGGAUAACAUCAAAGGAUUUCGGUCCUAUUGUGUUGGCCUUCGGGAUCGGAGUAAUGAAUAAGAGGGACAAUCGGGGGCAUUCGUAUUUCAUAGUCAGAGGUGAAAUUCUUGGAUUUAUGAAAGACGAACCACUACGAAAGCAUUUGCCAAGUAUGUUUUCAUUAAUCAAGAACGAAAGUUGGGGGCUCGAAGAUGAUUAGAUACCGUACUAGUCUCAACCAUAAAUGAUGUCGACCAGGGAUCGGCGGAUGUUGCUCUUAGGACUCCACUAGCACCUUAUGAGAAAUCAAAGUCUUUGGGUUCCAUGGGGACUAUGGUCGCAAGGCUGAAACUUAAAGGAAUUGAUGGAAGGGCACCACUAGGAGUGGAGCCUGCGGCUUAAUUUGACUCAACACGGGGAAACUUACCAGGUUCAGACAUAGCAAGGAUUGACAGAUUGAGAGCUCUUUCUUGAUUCUAUGGGUGGUAGUGCAUGGUCGUUCUUAGUUGGUGGAGCGAUUUAUCUGGUUAAUUCUGAUAACGAACAAGACCUCAGCCUGCUAACUAGCUACACUGAGGCAUCCCUCCGUGGCCAGCUUCUUAGAGGGACUAUGGCUGUUUAGGCCACGAAAGUUUGAGGCAAUAACAGGUCUAUGAUGCCCGUAGAUGUUCUGGGCCGAACGUGCGCUACAUUGAUGUAUUCAACGAGUCUAUAGCCUUGGCCGACAGGCCCAGGUAAUCUUUGAAAAUUUCAUCGUGACGGGGAUAGAUCAUUGCAAUUGUUGGUCUUCAACAAGGAAUUCCUUGUAAGCAUGAGUCAUCAGCUGGUGUUGACUACGUCCCUGCCCUUUGUACACACCACCCAUCGCUCCUACCGAUUGAAUGGUCCGGUGAAGUGUUCGGAUCAAGGUGACGGGGGUAGUUCGCCGCCCGCGACGUCGCGAGAAGUCCACUGAACCUUUUCAUUUAGAGGAAGGAGAAGUCGUAACAAGGUUUCCGUUGGUGAACCUGCGGAAG
rnacentral:rRNA from 1 species